UUGAACGCUGGCGGCAGGCCUAACACAUGCAAGUCGAGCGGUAGCACAGAGAGCUUGCUCUCGGGUGACGAGCGGCGGACGGGUGAGUAAUGUCUGGGAAACUGCCUGAUGGAGGGGGAUAACUACUGGAAACGGUAGCUAAUACCGCAUAAUGUCGCAAGACCAAAGUGGGGGACCUUCGGGCCUCAUGCCAUCAGAUGUGCCCAGAUGGGAUUAGCUAGUAGGUGGGGUAACGGCUCACCUAGGCGACGAUCCCUAGCUGGUCUGAGAGGAUGACCAGCCACACUGGAACUGAGACACGGUCCAGACUCCUACGGGAGGCAGCAGUGGGGAAUAUUGCACAAUGGGCGCAAGCCUGAUGCAGCCAUGCCGCGUGUGUGAAGAAGGCCUUCGGGUUGUAAAGCACUUUCAGCGGGGAGGAAGGCGUUAAGGUUAAUAACCUUGUCGAUUGACGUUACCCGCAGAAGAAGCACCGGCUAACUCCGUGCCAGCAGCCGCGGUAAUACGGAGGGUGCAAGCGUUAAUCGGAAUUACUGGGCGUAAAGCGCACGCAGGCGGUCUGUCAAGUCGGAUGUGAAAUCCCCGGGCUCAACCUGGGAACUGCAUUCGAAACUGGCAGGCUAGAGUCUUGUAGAGGGGGGUAGAAUUCCAGGUGUAGCGGUGAAAUGCGUAGAGAUCUGGAGGAAUACCGGUGGCGAAGGCGGCCCCCUGGACAAAGACUGACGCUCAGGUGCGAAAGCGUGGGGAGCAAACAGGAUUAGAUACCCUGGUAGUCCACGCCGUAAACGAUGUCGAUUUGGAGGUUGUGCCCUUGAGGCGUGGCUUCCGGAGCUAACGCGUUAAAUCGACCGCCUGGGGAGUACGGCCGCAAGGUUAAAACUCAAAUGAAUUGACGGGGGCCCGCACAAGCGGUGGAGCAUGUGGUUUAAUUCGAUGCAACGCGAAGAACCUUACCUGGUCUUGACAUCCACAGAACUUAGCAGAGAUGCUUUGGUGCCUUCGGGAACUGUGAGACAGGUGCUGCAUGGCUGUCGUCAGCUCGUGUUGUGAAAUGUUGGGUUAAGUCCCGCAACGAGCGCAACCCUUAUCCUUUGUUGCCAGCGGUCCGGCCGGGAACUCAAAGGAGACUGCCAGUGAUAAACUGGAGGAAGGUGGGGAUGACGUCAAGUCAUCAUGGCCCUUACGACCAGGGCUACACACGUGCUACAAUGGCAUAUACAAAGAGAAGCGACCUCGCGAGAGCAAGCGGACCUCAUAAAGUAUGUCGUAGUCCGGAUUGGAGUCUGCAACUCGACUCCAUGAAGUCGGAAUCGCUAGUAAUCGUAGAUCAGAAUGCUACGGUGAAUACGUUCCCGGGCCUUGUACACACCGCCCGUCACACCAUGGGAGUGGGUUGCAAAAGAAGUAGGUAGCUUAACCUUCGGGAGGGCGCUUA
rnacentral:rRNA from 1 species